CCGCGCCGUGGCCGUGUUUAUCGCAACGAACGCUACAAGUUGCUGCCCGCAUCCCUCCUCCAGCCUUGACAGGGAACACGCGCGCCGCCCCCGCGUCCACACCGACUCUCGCAUCCCUCUCCAGCUUGGCCCGAGUCCCCAGGGCGAAGGCCCCCCGAGACCCCCUCCACCACAGCCCAUCGCCCCCAACCCAGCCUGGUUCUAGGCCGCGGCGACCCCUUAGGGGCGACUGUUGGCUCCUCCAAGUCUGACCACCGCCUCAGAGUCCCGGAACCGAGCCAGCACCGUCCGCCGGGACGCGGGGACACCCCUCGGGGGCCCCGAAUCACUGCGGAGCAGCCGCGCCUCCGCCGCCAGAUUGUGAACUACCUGCUGACAAAAUUUAUCUCUGCACAUUCUGAGGUCAGUUCCUAGUAAAUACUAGGAGUCAAUGGAUGUGGAAGGAGGAGAAGAAGGAAGGGAGAAGGGAAGAUGUUUUGUGUGAUUGUUGAUUAUCACCAGAGGGCUGGAUGGCAGAAGAAAACAUUUAGGCACUGUGGAUGCCAAAAGGAAUAGCACAUGGCCCCACCCUCAAGGGAUCCCCAGUUCAUGUUAUUUUGUGAUCUGUGCUAUAAUGAGAGAUUUACUUGGUGUGCAGUAACACAGAGGCGAGAAUGUCUAAUUCUUGACAGAGGAGACCAGAUGUUUGCAUUAAAUUUUGAAGAAUAAGCAGGCAUUUACCAGGCAAAAACACAGAUCCUGAAGAAUCAAGUUGUGCGCAGAGAACUGCAGGUGCUUCAUUAUCCCUGGAACGUGGUGUGGGACCAAUAAAAUAUCUAACACCUGCUACAGCUUAUUGCAAGUUAUGUAUCAAGUACAUUCUAAAUAUUUUAUUGAUAUCAUCUCCAUCAAUUUAUACAACCUUGCAAGAGACAUGAUGUGAAUUGUGUAAGAGCACCCAAAGGAGCAAAAGUUGGCUUCCUGAUCUCUGCAACUUUGUGGACUCUGUCAUUUCCACUUCCCUCUUGGGUUUCCACUUCUCUGUGCUGUGUCUGAGAUCUUGAAAUUGCUCAAAAGACAUAUAAGAAGUCAAGAAGAGCUCAGAUCAAUGAGUUCUAAGCUUUCAGGAACCCAGAGAAACACAGUUGGCAAGCUCCAAGUACUACAUCUUCUCAUGGUUAUAGACAAGAGUAUUCUUGCCACUUCCCUCCUCCAAGAGCUGUUCCAAAAUGCAUACUGUGAGUUUUCUCUGGGCAAUCAACAAAACAUCCCAGAACAGUGGUCUGAGGCCAAGUCUAGAAGGCUUCAGAGCCCACAUCCGGUUGCAGUUUUCCUCAUAACUCAGAAGGGGGAUGGUAGACAGACAGGCUAAAUAUUAAAUGACGCCCUGUGAGCCAUAUAUGCCUAUUUCAGCACCCUUAGGGAGCUCUGGGCAGCAGUGAUGAUGAUGCUUCUUCAUAGUUAUUGGAAACUUUAGAAAACCAGAUCAAUUACUUUUCCAAAGGUCUUCAUGUCAAUAAACCUUUCAAAUAAAUCUCCUUCCAAGGCUGCCCGACAUAAAAGUCUGUCUUUCCCAUGAGUUCACCUUCAGUUACUGCAGUCCAAACUAAUCAUUCCAUCACCUGCUGUCCAGCUUCCCAUUCUGACCUUCAGUUAUAAAGUUCUUUGAUAUUGUUUUUGGCUCUUCAGUGGGGACAUGGAUUGGCUCCCUGACUGGUUUGCCAGCUCCUUGAAGGCAGAGACCACAGCAUACAAAGAUAUUUCCAAGAGUUCCUGGGAAAUGUGUAUCAUGAAAAAAGUUUAUUUUGCACCAAAAUAAACUUACAUUUUCUAGAAAUUUCUCACUGGACCACAUUCACCCCACCCUUUACUCCCAGCUUUGAAUGGAAUUCUGUAGGAUUAGAGCUGUUUUGCCUCUACCCAAUUGAGUGCAAUAACAUCUCAAUGUGGACUCCCCAGUGACUGGGUCCACUCAUUGGUUUGAUUCGGAAGCACUAGCUAGUUUUGGACAGUGGAGUUUAGACAGCAAACCCUGAGUCUCAGGAACCUGUUUCCCAAUUUUCUCUCUGAUCUAUGUGACUCAGUUUCCUUCAUGGUAAGCUGAAGUGUGACAGUAACUGAGUACUUGGGGAGAGCAUUUGGUAAACAGUUAACACUUUGCUUGGUAGGACCACAACCCAUGUCAGAGUAUGUGGGGUUCAGGUCCUGGCUCUACUCCCAACCCCAGCAUCAUGCCACAGUGCACUCUGACAGACAUCAGGGGAUGGCUCAAGUAGUUGGGUCUCUGACAGCCUUAUAGGAGAUCUGGACUGAGGUCUGGGUUCAAGGCUUUGGCGGGGCCCAGCCCAGGCUACUGCAUGCAUUUAUGGAAUGAAACAGCAUGGAGGAGAUUUCUCUCUCUUUUUCUCUUCCAACUUUCAAAUAAAAUAAAAUAAAAAUAUAAAAGAAGAUUACUGUUUAUGGCCCUUGUCUAUACUCUUGAGGAACAGUGGCUUUUCUACUUACUGCUUGUUGAAUUGUUUAUUUAGUGGAGGGUUAAACUUGUGAUUAUAAAGUAAAUUGAAAGUAACAUUAAACUUGUGAUUAUAAAGUAAAUUGAAAUAUAAGAAAAGAAGGAGGAGGGAGGGUGGGAGUCUGUGAGUGAAGGAGUCUAGGGUGGGAAGUAUCAUUAUGCUCUUAAAAUCGUUUAUAUGAAAGAAGUGAAAUUUGCUCUUUUAUAUAAAUAAAAACUUUUCAAAAGAAGGAAUAGGUGCUCAAGAAUACUAGAAUCAAGAAGAAGAAUUUCUCUUUUGUGAAUCUCGUCAAACAAGAAAUACUGGUAACAGAGGAUGCCAUUCACUUCACGGAGGGGAAGCCGAAGCUUCUCUCGGAAGAGGGAGGAGGCUGCUGUGCUUCUCGAGCCCCUGCUGCUGCCCUGUUUGUCCACAUUUCCAAUCCUUAAACCUCUGUGACUUAAGGCCCUGAGAGUGGACCUAGCAAGAUUCUUCAGAUCUCCACAGCCUUCUAGGGUGUAAAAGAACAAUAAAAAUCAGCCUAGUAUACUUGAGUUCCCUUAGCAUCCCUCCCUCUAAACAGUCUGCCAUUCGAGCCUUUUCCAGAGGUAGCGUCCCAGUUAGAAAGAGCAGCUUGAAAGGGUCUCUGUUCAGAGAUGGUACUCUUGACUGGAGCAGAACAUGCAUUUGGAGCUGCUUUUCCAGGAAGGACAUCUGUGGAGUGCAGGCAGCAAACCCGAAGUCUCAGGAACUCGGCGGUGGUGCACUCACUGCCAGUACUCAUGACUUGAAGGCUGCUGAAGGUGAGGGUGUGUGUUAAUUCCUGCUACGCACGGCUUGCCACGCGUGCCUCUGUGAGGAGAGUGUCUGCUGUGGAACUUUCUGGAAAAACCCUUGGGAACAGGACCGGCGAUGGGAGGUCAGGGGCAGCACACUGGGCAGGAGUCUCUGCCAGUCCUUGAGUGAUUGCUGGGGAGCCCAUGGCUCACAGGGGUCACAGCUAGAUCUGCACUGAGCUGUAGGCCCCAGAAGUCAGGGGUUGGUUAUAUUGCUGGGCUGGAUACUGGAUUCCACACCAAGUUGGUACUCCUUAAAGGAUUGAGCUUGGUGAUCAUCACAGUUUACACAAAGUCAAGUGGUUAAUGAAUGAACUAGGAAUCAGAGUUUUAUAUCUAUGAGCUAAUUAUAUCUGAGUUUCAUAAUAACUUGAGGCUAUUUAUGAGCAAGUAUUAUUAUUAUAAGCCACAUUCUGCGGAUGAGAGGCCUGGCCCUGCAUCAAGAAGUAGAAUGAUGUAUUUAAAAGACAGAAAAUAAAGAGUUAAUUCUUUUGAUCUGGUAUGUGCAAUUCAAAGAAAACUUACUGUAAAUAGUGGACGCUAAUAGGUGGUUAUUUAAAAGAAAAUAUAGUCCACAAUGCCUGGAAAUUAGAAGCAGAAUUCCUUUUUUAUUUAGUAAAGAGUAUUUAAUAUAAACUUUUUAAAAAGGGUUAGACGUGCUUCAAUUGUUCUUAAACUGUUUUUGUAACACUGUUGCCAUAUUUCCAGAAUUUUUAUGGAAACUUGAGGGGAAAAAUUACUCUGUGAACUUUUUCUUAUUAAGGCAAAUAAAUAAAUAAAGGUGAAAUUUUGUGUAUGCAUCUGAAGCCCAGAUAAGAGUUCCUUUGUGGUUCUCACUAAUAUAGAAAAAUCUAUUUAAAUUUUCUCACUUCCCCUUUCCUUUCAAACCUGAUCCAGUUAGCCUUGGCUCUUAUCCCCUCCUUCCCCAGUUCUAAAACCAAAUGGAAUGUUUGUGCUGAGGGACAAGUCUGUACAGUGACUCAGAGGAAACAAGCAUUUAUAAACCAUGUUUCCCUAAAGCCUCAGUACAAACACAACUGUGGCCCACUUCCAGAUCGGACAGCGCAACACUCACUAGUGUGGCCCUGGCCAAACUAAGUGUCCAAGGGCCUUAGCCAAAAACAAGACCUGGGCUGCAAAUGGCCUUGAGGCACCACCACACCUUGCAGAUCUUUCAUCUCCAAGCGUCAAAACAACCUGUGCUGGAAUGAAGUCAGACGAAGAAGCGUUGUGCUUUGCAGGAAUGCACAAUUCUCUUGAGUUUUCAGUGUAGCUUGGCGUGACUUCAGCUUCAUUACAGGCUAGUCUCUUAAUUGUGUCCCUGAGUUUUCUUUUCAGGAUAAAUGUCUUCCCCUUGAGGCCCAACAUAAUCAUAUCUGCCUGGAAUACAAAGGGUUACCAGGGCAUUUGGUUUUCGCUCUGGAGUCAGCCUGAUCUAGUUUUGAAUCCCAAUUCCUUACUUCGUAUUUUCACUUGACAAAGAUUUAGGAAUACUGACUUUGUGCCAGGCUUGCAUGGUUCUAAGAGCUGAGAAUGAGGGAGGGAGAAGAGUAGACAGGGCUCCUGUCCUCCUGCUCUGACAUCCUAAUUAGAGGAACCAGGAGAAACAAACACAAAACACAAAGAUCAUGUGGCAGGGAUGGUGAUAACGUCAUGGAGAUAAAUUAGGGAGCUGGUUCCGGUGACCAGAGGCCUCUGCAUGAUGGAGAGGAGGUGGCUUCUAUGGAGCAGAGGCAGCUAAACAGAGACCUGAGUCACAUGAAAGAUUCAGCAGAAUAAGAACACGCCUGGGGCCAGCGAUAUGGCAUAGUGGGUAAGACACCACCUACAGUGCCGGCAUCCCAUAGGGGCACCAGUUCACGUUCCGGCGGCUCCACUUCUGAUCCAGCUCUUUGCUAUGGCCUGGGAAAGCAAUUGAAGAUGGCCAAAGGCUUUGGGCCCCUGCACCUGUGUGGGAGACCUGGAAGAAGCCCCUGGCUCCUGGCUUUGGAUUGGCUCAGCUCUGGCUAUAGCAGCCAUUUGGGGAGUGAACCAGCAGAUGGAAGUCCUUUCUCUCCAUCCCCUCCCCGCCUCCACCUCCUCUCUCUCUCUGCAACUCUGCCUUUCAAAUAAACAAACAAAAAUCUUCAAAAAAAAAAAAACCCAUCCCUACUCAGGAACACACAAAGACUUGAAAAAGAAGGAAUCUUGGACUGCUCGAGGAACAGAAAGUCUACAGGGUGAGAGAGGGGGCAGUGGUGCAAGAUGAAUCUGGGACGCAUGGAGGAUCAAAGAUCCACUCAUUCUUUGAGAAGGCUCCAGGGAGGGGUGGAUCUAUAUCCCCUCCCCUUUAAUCUGAGCUGGCCUCUGAGUGCAGUGACCAUGAGCUUAUGGUGGAAGUGAUGCAGCACCAGUCCUGGCCGUGGCCUAUAUGAUGAUUGCCAGCUUCUAUCUUGGUUCUCUGAGGCCUUACCAAGGAUGAGGGACCUCUUUCUGCCAAGGGCCAUUUGGAUAUUUAUAACAUCAUUCACAGGCCACACAAAAUUAUCAACUUAAAAAUUAGCCUGCUAUAGAUUAAUUGAAUUUUUUAAAACGAUUUUAUUUAUUUGAGAGGUAGAGUUACAAACGGUGAGAGGGAGAUACAGAGAGAAAGGUCUUCCAUCCACUGGUUCACUCCCCAAUUGGCUGCAAUGGCCAGAGCUGCACUGAUCCGAAGCCAGGAGCCAGGAGAUUCUUCAUAGUCUCCCAUGUGGGUGCAGGGGCUCAAGGACUUGGGCCAUCUUCUACUGCUUUCCCAGGCAGUAGCAGAGAGCAGGACUGGAAGAGGAGCAGCCAGGACUAGAAACUGUGCCCAUAUGGGAUGACGGCACUGCAGGCAGCGGCUUCACCCACUACAGCACAGUGCUGGCCCCUAGAUUCAUUGAAUUUCAAAUCCAUCCAUCCUGUGGUUAUCUUGGUAGGGUCAGACCAAAUGGUUUUGCAAGCUGCAGACUGUGCAUUCCCCAACCCUGCAACUGAUGCAUCAGAAGGUUGAGGAUCUCUUGCUGAGAGUACAUGAAGAAGAGGAUGUCACUGAGCCCAGCCUUCCAGGUGCCCCUGCCACAGGGCCAGACAAGUGAGUGUAAUCACCCUGGAUCAGCUGAGCCACCAAGUGGCUCCAGAAAGUGCCUCACGAGACAAAAAAAUCAGCUAAACCAAACCUCACCCAAAGUCCUGACACACAAAAUCAGGAGAUACAAUAUUUUGGUGGUUUUAAGCCACUGAGUUUUGGGGGUCAGUUCUUUAAUAGAGAAUAGAGAGACAGGCCACAGUCAGGUUGCUGUGACCUUGAGCCAGGACACAGUGUGGCUUGAGCUGAGUAAGAAACCAUGGGGGAGCUUAUGUAGGAAAUGUGGGGCCUACUACAUUCUAAAACUUAACUUCGUCAUUUGUUCCUGGCUUCCUACUUCUUUGAUCUUGUACAAGUAAACUGAGCUAUCCGUGUCUUGGUUUCUCUACCUGAAAAAUAAAAUAAUAGUUUCUACAUCAUAGGGUUGUUUGGGGAUGAAGUAAUAUAAAAUAAUUAGCACAGUGCAUAGCGCCUGGUUCAGGGCCCGAUGAAUGGUAGCUGUACCUGUUUCUAUUUUUCUGGCUCAGUUCCUACCUGAAGAAUCAAGGAGACUCCAGUUCAGGAAGUCCUUAGGGGAAUUAUAUACAUGCUCACAUCCAGGGGCCUUUGCCACCCCAGUUGCCUAUCCACCAGGAUGGGCCAGCAAAACUGUGAUUUGGUAUCCUCUAUGGCCUCCUCUCCUUUUCUA